rnacentral:rRNA from 1 species
CGGCAAGAGCUCAAAUUUGAAAGCUGGCUCCUUCGGGGUCCGCAUUGUAAUUUGCAGAGGAUGCUUCGGGAGUGGCCCCCAUCUAAGUGCCCUGGAACGGGCCGUCAUAGAGGGUGAGAGCCCCGUCUGGUCGGAUACCGCGUCUCUGUAAAGCUCCUUCGAC